CCUACGGGAGGCAGCAGUGAGGAAUAUUGGUCAAUGGGCGAGAGCCUGAACCAGCCAAGUCGCGUGAAGGAUGACGGCUCUACGGGUUGUAAACUUCUUUUGUCAGGGAGCAAUUGGGUCCACGCGUUGGCUUAGCGAGAGUACCUGAAGAAAAACCAUCGGCGAACCCCGUGCCAGCAGCGGGGGUAUUACGGAGGAUGCGAGGUUUACCCGGAUUUAUUGGGUUUAAGGGGUGUGUUGGCGGAAAUUAAAGCACGCGGUAAAGAUUCGGGGCUCAACCCCGUCGUGCCGUUGAAACUGUUGUUCUUGAGUGGGCGAGAAGUAUGCGGAAUGCGUGGUGUAGCGGUGAAAUGCAUAGAUAUCACGCAGAACUCCGAUUGCGAAGGCAGCAUACCGGCGCCCAACUGACGCUGAAGCACGAAAGCGUGGGUAUCGAACAGGAUUAGAUACCCGAGUAGUC
rnacentral:rRNA from 1 species